rnacentral:rRNA from 1 species
CUACGGGUGGCAGCAGUGGGGAAUAUUGCACAAUGGGCGCAAGCCUGAUGCAGCCAUGCCGCGUGUAUGAAGAAGGCCUUCGGGUUGUAAAGUACUUUCAGCGGGGAGGAAGGGAGUAAAGUUAAUACCUUUGCUCAUUGACGUUACCCGCAGAAGAAGCACCGGCUAACUCCGUGCCAGCAGCCGCGGUAAUACGGAGGGUGCAAGCGUUAAUCGGAAUUACUGGGCGUAAAGCGCACGCAGGCGGUUUGUUAAGUCAGAUGUGAAAUCCCCGGGCUCAACCUGGGAACGGCAUCGGAUACUGGCAAGCUUGAGUGUCGAAGAGGGGGGUAGAAUUCCAGGUGUAGCGGUGAAAUGCGUAGAGAUCUGGAGGAAUACCGGUGGCGAAGGCGGCCCCCUGGACGAAGACUGACGCUCAGGUGCGAAAGCGUGGGGAGCAAACAGGAUUAGAUACCCCCGUAGUC